rnacentral:rRNA from 1 species
AUUGAACGCUGGCGGCAUGCCUUACACAUGCAAGUCGAACGGCAGCACAGGUGCUUGCACCUGGUGGCGAGUGGCGAACGGGUGAGUAAUACAUCGGAACAUGUCCUGUAGUGGGGGAUAGCCCGGCGAAAGCCGGAUUAAUACCGCAUACGAUCUACGGAUGAAAGCGGGGGCCCUUCGGGCCUCGCGCUAUAGGGUUGGCCGAUGGCUGAUUAGCUAGUUGGUGGGGUAAAGGCCUACCAAGGCGACGAUCAGUAGCUGGUCUGAGAGGACGACCAGCCACACUGGAACUGAGACACGGCCCAGACUCCUACGGGAGGCAGCAGUGGGGAAUUUUGGACAAUGGGCGAAAGCCUGAUCCAGCAAUGCCGCGUGUGUGAAGAAGGCCUUCGGGUUGUAAAGCACUUUUGUCCGGAAAGAAAACCUUGGCCCUAAUACGGUCGGGGGAUGACGGUACCGGAAGAAUAAGCACCGGCUAACUACGUG